UGGGGGCGGACGGUGGAUACCUCCUUACCGAACGAUAUUGAAAUGUGCAGUGUCCACACAGAUUGUCUGAUGAAAAAGUAACGAGCAGAGAAACCUUUAUAGGCUUGUAGCUCAGGUGGUUAGAGCGCACCCCUGAUAAGGGUGAGGUCGGGGGGGCAAGUCCACUCCGGCCCACCAAAUUCCUCGUACGCUGCGUUGUCGCUCCAUGUCUUUGACCCCAUAAUCUUUACAAGAAUCCCCCAGCCCUUUAACCGAUGUUGCUCGGGUUCCAAUUGCCCUGUGGGGCACAAAAUUUAAAUUCAGGAAAGUUGUAUCUAUAAAUCUUCUCAAAAAUGACUAAUCGGCUUAGUUUUAGACGAAAUCUCUUUAAUUUUUUUGAGUUGCUUUUAUUCAACUCGUUAUUCUAUAUCAGAUUUUUCCUUUUUUUCACUGCUGUUAUUUUUUUUCUCUUCAACUUUUUCGGACAGGCGAUUUGAGUAAUUUUUUUUUUGUUUCGUUUUUCUUAUC
rnacentral:misc_RNA from 1 species